UCCAGAGGUCUCAAGCGUUGUUCGGAUUCAUUGGGCGUAAAGGGUGCGUAGGUGGCGUCGUAAGUCAGGUGUGAAAUCUCGGAGCUUAACUCCGAAACUGCAUUCGAUACUGCCGUGCUUGAGGACUGGAGAGGAGACUGGAAUUUACGGUGUAGCGGUGAAAUGCGUAGAUAUCGUAAGGAACACCAGUGGCGAAAGCGGCUUCCUGGUCCAGCAUCGACGUUCAGGCACGAAAGCGUGGGGAGCAAACAGG
rnacentral:rRNA from 1 species